UGUUGUUGCUCUCAAAACAAUUAACACAGCACAGUAAACACUCUUAUGUUGAUGAAAUUUCAUUAUUCACUGCACUGCAGUUUAUUCUAGUAAUACGUUUAUUAAAAACUAAAUUAUAUCAUCAUAACUACAGGUGUGUUCACUAUUGAUUUUAUAACAUAUUCAUCUAUAGACAUACACUAAUGAAAGUACAUGCUUAUUAUUGUUUUUUAAUGAGUGGUUUUGUUAUAAUCUUUUCCCACUUCCCCCAAAAAUUACAUAGCCUACACAAACAUCCAGCAAAUGUUGUACAGUACUGCAAUCACAAAUGUUUACUCACGAAUUUAAAUCUGCCUAGAGAAUUUCAUCUACAUCAUAGAACAUUCUUAUGCAUUAUGGAGGGAAAAAUCAUUAUGAAUGUUGAAUCCAUGGUUCUUCUCAACAUCUGCAGGCCUCCUUCAUUGUUGUUGUUUUUUUUUUACUCUUUUUUUGUAGUAAACUAUAUUCAUGUUUCUGGUAAAGGUUUGCUCUUGUUUACCUGAUUUUUAAUACUGCUUUCAUGUGCUGGUGUGUGUGUAUACAAGAAAAGAAUUGGUUCUUAUAGAUCUGUUAGUUUUGUGACAGUUUUACUGUUUGAAUUUGUAAUAAACACAUACAACGUGUGGUGUGUAGAUAAAUAAAAUGUAUUACAAAUGUAUUUACAAAUGUAAAACAAAAUUAUUUACAAUAAUAUAAACAAAUAGAAGACGGAAUAAGCAUGUAUGUAUAGGAAACAACUCAAGAAUGUAUUCCAACGAUAUUCUCCAUAGUCUGUUCCCCAUUGUUUUCCUGUGUGUAUCUCUAUAGUCAGCCAGUGUGCUUCAGCCAUCCGUCUGUCCAGCAAUUCACGAUUCCCUCAUCUGUAAGAAAUUACAUUUCAGUAAUUAUCUCCUUUCAUCGAAAGUACCAUUUAAUUGUCAACUCUGAUUUCUGUCAUUACGCCCAGUGCUGUCAACAAAACAUAAUGUUCACCUAAUUCCAAAUUUAUCUAUUCGGUUUCCUGCAAAAGUGGCUCUUCCGUGUGUGUGCGUCACCCUUUCGUCAAUGUUGUUGACUUUUGAUGAUUGAUGAGGUAAGCUCAGUGUAGUGCUUGGGUCACUAUAUCAUGAAUAAUUUAAAUAAAUAAAGGUGUUGUGUCACGUUGACAUUGCCUGUCGUAACUGUUUGUAAUCCUUCUCAUGACUAAUUAAUAUGGUGAUACGCACGAUUCAGAUCGUUUUAUUAUUAAUGAGAUUGUGAACUAGCACUUACGUAAUGGUUACGAUGUGCUCAAGUCUGGCGCAACUUCCUUUUAACCAAAAACUUUUGGCGGCGAGGAAGAAAGUAGUAGUAGUAGUAUCAUCAGCAGCAGGACAUGGCGCGGAGAGAGUUUCUUACAGACUGCAAUAGGGCAUUUCGGGAGUGUACUCGAUUGGCUCAAACAGACGAUCGGGAUGCUAUAGCAAUAAUAAUUACAAGGUAAGUGAUCUUGUUUUGUGGCACUGGACGCCCAUUAUUUCCCCCAGGGGCGGACAAGGCUAUCGGCAGUACCGGGAGUUUUCCCUGUGGGCCGGCCCUUUGCAAUGUAAAUGUAUGAAUGAAUUGUAGUAAAUAGUCCAUAGGCCCAUCUUUCCGUCAGCACAGACGAAUUGUUCGCGCGGGCGCGGCCCACAAAGACACUAAUCAGUGUGCUCAGUCUGUAUAAAAGCGCUUAUCAAUGUCAAAAUGUUUGAGAUAACCAAUCAAAUCAAAGGAGGCGGGAUUUACUGUCCACGGAAACCGAACAGCGCUGCACUAUUUAAUGCUUGUAGAAUGCGAGCCGAGAUAACAUAAGCAGCUGAACAAAACAAUAUAGCCUACAGCAAUGUUUGCCAACUGUUUACGAUAAAUAAUAAUAAUAAACUGUUAAACGACGGGGAUUCAUUUCUAGGACGCACUUCUGACCUUUUCGGAUUGUUAUUCUUCACACAUUGGAUAUAGAAACAUUAACGUAACCUAUAGUGUUCAGCAUGUCAGAUAAAAGUGAAUGUGUGUCUGUUGUCAGGAUUUCUUCAGUAAUUUCACAAUCAUAAAACUCGAAAUAUUCUCAAACUUAAACUGCAUGGCAAAACCAGCAGCUUUCAUAUAACCUAUGUCCCGUAAAGUGUAAAACAUAUAAUUUUCUAAUAGUUCACACGCAUUAUUUUACAGACUGGCGAUCAAAAGUUUGAAAUAAGACUUCUUUAAUGUUUUUGAGGCGGAGAAGUAGGAGGAGGAAGAUAAGUAUUCUCUUGAGAAGGAAUGCAAUGAAGCAUUUUGCCUUUAACAAAUACCCAAACGCCCCUUUCUCCUAGCAUUUUUGUGCGCACAAUGUCCAUCUGUCGUGCUCGCUUGCUCUCAAUAGGCUACUGAGAAUCAUAAGUUAGGAAAGUCUGUCCUUCUCGGGCAGGUUUUUAUUAGUUUCGGUUUAGGAAAAAGGGCUCCACUUAAUAUUAAGUGGCCUUAAUACUAUGUACUUACAUCAAAAACCAACGCAUUUAUCAGAUCCAAAAGCAUUGUUGAGAGGAGUUAUGGAAAAGCACAGACGAAUGAUAUCACCAAUCGUUGUCGUUAUCAUGAUAGAAACUCGAGCAGGGAGUGGAGCAGCGUUUUCACAAGCAAAAUUCUGCUGCUGACCCAGAGGAUGGAGUGGAAGUACCAGAUAUCCAUCAGAGAAGAAUUUAUUUCGUUCAGACAUAUCACCUUUGAAUGACUGGGAUCUUGAUCUUCAGACACCUAAUAUUAUGCAAAUAUUUUACUUUCUUUAGCGCUCUAGAUUAAAACAAACACAGCUCAGAAAUAAAUAAGAUGUUGUACUUUACUCCUAUUACUCGAUGCUGAUCUUGGAUAAACAAGAAUUAAGAUAACCCAUCUCUGAGUCCAUGUAAUGCAAAUGAAUAUGUAUUUUAAAAAGGUUACACUUUAAAAACCACACACAGUGACUGUGACAGUUAUCUAUACAACCCCAGUGAAGUAAAACAAUAGGUAACUAUUUACCAUCGCUUCUGACUAACUGCAUGCUACAAUCUACUUGAAUAUGGACUCACAGAGAUUGAUUAUUUUCUUAAAAAGCAGUGUUUAUAUGAAGAAAGUAAUAUAGUACAUCUUGGAUGGCAUGAAAGACUAUUAACAAAGACAUAUAUUGCACUCCCCUACCACAUAUUGUACCCACUGUCACUGUUUUAUUUUUACUGUGACAGUAACUGUUUAAAUGAUCUCUGCAUCAUUAAAAUAAAACAUUUUACACAUAUUUUGUAUAUCAUGUACAUUUUGUUUAGUAAUACAUGAAUAUUAUGAGAAAAA